AAAUUACUCCAUCCGUCCCAUAUUAAGUGACUUUCUAUUACAUGUAUCUAAACGUUUUUAGGCAUAGAUACAUUCAUAUUUAGGCAAAUUUGAGUCACUUAAUAUGAAAUGGAUGAAGUAUAAU
rnacentral:pre_miRNA from 1 species